rnacentral:rRNA from 1 species
AGCGAACGUUAGCGGCGCGCCUAACACAUGCAAGUCGCACGAGAAAGGGAGCAAUCCCCGGUACAGUGGCGCACGGGUGAGUAACACGUAGAUGACCUUCCCUGGAGUGGUGGAUAACCUGCCGAAAGGCGGGCUAAUACAGCAUGGGACCGACAUGGUUUUGUACCGAGUGGUGAAAGCGGGCCGUCUGUUCACAAGCUCGCGCUCUGGGAUGGGUCUGCGUCCCAUCAGCUAGUUGGUGAGGUAAUGGCUCACCAAGGCAUCGACGGGUAGCUGGUCUGAGAGGAUGACCAGCCACACUGGAACUGAGACACGGUCCAGACUCCUACGGGAGGCAGCAGUGGGGAAUCUUGCGCAAUGGGCGAAAGCCUGACGCAGCGACGCCGCGUGGGUGAUGAAGGCC